CGAGUACGAGGGUCUACGGACUCGAAGUAGAUGAUGUCAAGCUUCCAAGAAAAGCUCUAACCACGUUAAGCCAAAAUCACCUGUACCCGAAACCGACACAGGUGGGGAGGUUGAGAAUACCCAGGGGCGCGAGAUAACCCUCUCUAAGGAACUCGGCAAAAUGGCCCCGUAACUUCGGGAGAAGGGGUGCCACCGAGAGGUGGUCGCAGUGAAGAGUCCCAGGCGACUGUUUACCAAAAACACAGGUCUCCGCUAAGUCGUAAGACGAUGUAUGGGGGCUGACGCCUGCCCAGUGCCGGAAGGUUAAGGAAGUUGGUUAGGUGAAAGCCAAAGCUAGCGACCGAAGCCCCGGUGAACGGCGGCCGUAACUAUAACGGUCCUAAGGUAGCGAAAUUCCUUGUCGGGUAAGUUCCGACCCGCACGAAAGGCGUAACGAUCUGGGAGCUGUCUCGGAGAGAGGCUCGGCGAAAUAGGAAUGUCUGUGAAGAUACGGACUACCUGCACCCGGACAGAAAGACCCUAUGAAGCUUUACUGUAGCCCGGAAUUGGGUUCGGGCUUUGCUUGCGCAGGAUAGGUGGGAGGCAAUGAAAGUGUCCUUGUGGGGACGCUGGAGCCAACGGUGAGAUACCACUCUGGCAAGGCUAGAAUUCUAACCCUGACCCCUAAUCGGGGGAGGGAACCGUUUCAGGUGGGCAGUUUGACUGGGGCGGUCGCCUCCUAAAUGGUAACGGAGGCGCACAAAGGUUCCCUCAGGCUGGUUGGAAAUCAGCCGGAGAGUGUAAAGGCACAAGGGAGCUUGACUGCAAGACCUACAAGUCAAGCAGGGACGAAAGUCGGUCUUAGUGAUCCGACGGCACUGAGUGGAAGGGCCGUCGCUCAACGGAUAAAAGUUACUCUAGGGAUAACAGGCUGAUCUCCCCCAAGAGUUCACAUCGACGGGGAGGUUUGGCACCUCGAUGUCGGCUCAUCGCAACCUGGUGCGGAAGUACGUGCCAAGGGUUGGGCUGUUCGCCCAUUAAAGCGGUACGUGAGCUGGGUUCAGAACGUCGUGAGACAGUUUGGUCCAUAUCCGGUGCAGGCGCAAGAGCAUUGAGAGGAGUCCCCUCUAGUACGAGAGGACCGAGGGGAACGCACCGCUGGUGUACCAGUUAUCGUGCCAACGGUAGACGCUGGGUAGCUAUGUGCGGAGCGGAUAACCGCUGAAAGCAUCUAAGUGGGAAGCCCACCUCAAGAUGAGUGCUCUCAUGGCAUAAGCCAGUAAGGUCACGGGCAGAACACCCGUUAAUAGGUUGUAGAUGGAAGUGCAGUAAUGCAUGCAGUCGAGCAAUCCUAACAGACC
rnacentral:rRNA from 1 species